rnacentral:rRNA from 1 species
AGCCCCUCGAGUGGUGGGGAUGAUUAUUUGGCCUAAAGCGUCCGUAGCCUGUCAGGUAAGUUUCCCGUUAAAUCCAACGUCUCAAGCGUUGGACCGCGGGAAAUACUGCCUAACUAGAGAGUGGGACAGGUCAGCGGUAUUCCGGGGGUAGGGGCGAAAUCCAUUGAUCCCCGGAGGACCACCAGUGGCGAAGGCUGCUGACUAGAACACGUCUGACGGUCAGGGACGAAAGCUGGGGUAGCGAACCGGAUUAGAUACCCGAGUAGUCC